rnacentral:rRNA from 1 species
GGAGGAAUCAAGUCGCCGGUGCCGUACCGCGAGGCCCCGAUGGCGUACGAGCCAGCGAGGCUCUGCUGGUGCAACCCCCGUCGGAAGGCGCCUAGGUGGAUCUCCUGGAGCCGUCAGAAUCCAGGCAGGAGAUACUACGCCUGUGUUGAUGCGAUGGUGAGCUUCAAGUUGCUGUUUUUUUGUUCUGUUCAUUUGUCCCCCCCCCCUCUCAUUGAUUUCUGUUGGUGCAAUUGA